rnacentral:rRNA from 1 species
UACGAACCGUCCAAACGUUAUUCGGAUUCAUUGGGCUUAAAGGGUACGUAGGCGGCGCCGUCAGUCGGGUGUGAAAGCCCUCGGCUCAACCGAGGAACUGCGCCCGAUACUGCGGUGCUUGAGGGAGACAGAGGUAAGCGGAACUGAUGGUGGAGCGGUGAAAUGCGUUGAUAUCAUCAGGAACACCGGUGGCGAAAGCGGCUUACUGGGUCUCUUCUGACGCUGAGGUACGAAAGCUAGGGGAGCGAACGGG